rnacentral:lncRNA from 1 species
UGUGAUAAGCGAGUAGGAUACUUUUCUAAAAUGUCCCACAUGGCCUGGAUAUUUCAUAACACGUUUCAUUAGAAAGAAAUGGACAUAGCAUUGACUAUUCAUCCAGCAUUUUGUUAGAGGAUGACCUGAGCUGUCUUGUUUAGAACAGCAAAAAGGAGAAUUUUGGCUACUAUAUGUAUUUGGAGACGCAUUUAAUAAAUGCAAUCCUUGUACACUUCGUUCCACUAAAAAAUCGGUCACUUGCAUGAUCUUUUCUAUCUAAGAAGUUGCCAAGCAUGAGUUUGUAUGGUUGAUUAAUUUAAUUUCCCCGAUAGGGAAUGAUAGCGUACAAACCACUACCACAGGUUCUGUUUGACAUUUGUGCUUGAAAGCCUUUUCCCCCCCCUUUUUUUCCUUGAUUUGCAUUGGAUGGUGUUGCAUAUUAGAAGAGCUUAAAAUUUCCGUAUUAGACCUUUAUAUUAUCUGUUACACCUGAUUACUAUGAAAAUGGUGUCAAUGAACUUGUAAAAACUGCUUGUGUUUUUCGUAUGGAUGUUCAUGAUGAUGCUGAGUGCUUGUCCCUAAUUGGAUUGAACCAAGUUUUUAGCAGUAGAAUCUCUCAGUUGCACUGUGUGCACGAACCUAAAUUGAAAGCGUAGGUGACAUGUUCCGUGUUGUACAUUUUCCCAAAUCAGGGAUCUUUCCCAGUCGGAUAGAGCCAAGUAUGGGAUCAUGGACAGCUUGGUGCGCUUCAGUUUUGGAGUUGAAGAUUUCGAAGACUUGAAGGCUGACAUUCUUCAGGCUCUGGAGAUUAUAUAGGCUUCUUGACCUGCUGAUUGUUUUCUAUUUAUUUACGCUUUUCAAAAGGUCCUCAAUUCCAAAUUUGUCGAGAAUAAGAUUUAGUUUGAUGUUGUAUCUGGUCUUCAAUUGUUGUUUGAUAAUCGAAAGCGACUCAUUACCAUGACUUGAUGAUCGUUAUUCAUCAGGGAAUAAUUAUCCCGUUAAUGGAUUUGUUAGCAAUGUGUUUUACUCUUGAAAUAUUCUCAUUUCCUUUAGCAAUAUAUAAUUGAUGCUCCACGAGAGAAUGAAGAAAAAGAAAGAUAUAUAUAUAUUUUUUGAAUAUUCUUCAAUUCGCACUGCAAUGUGCACCAAGAAUCACAGGUUAUUCUCGCA